AUUGAACGCUGGCGGCAUGCCUUACACAUGCAAGUCGAACGGUAACGCGGGGCAACCUGGCGACGAGUGGCGAACGGGUGAGUAAUGCAUCGGAACGUGCCCAGUAGUGGGGGAUAGCCCGGCGAAAGCCGGAUUAAUACCGCAUACGACCUACGGGUGAAAGGGGGGGAUCGCAAGACCUCUCGCUAUUGGAGCGGCCGAUGUCAGAUUAGGUAGUUGGUGGGGUAAAGGCCUACCAAGCCGACGAUCUGUAGCUGGUCUGAGAGGACGACCAGCCACACUGGGACUGAGACACGGCCCAGACUCCUACGGGAGGCAGCAGUGGGGAAUUUUGGACAAUGGGCGCAAGCCUGAUCCAGCCAUGCCGCGUGCGGGAAGAAGGCCUUCGGGUUGUAAACCGCUUUUGCCAGGGAAGAAAUCUUCUGGGUUAAUACCUCGGGAGGAUGACGGUACCUGAAGAAUAAGCACCGGCUAACUACGUGCCAGCCGCCGCCGUAAAAC
rnacentral:rRNA from 1 species